rfam:Camelus ferus unplaced genomic scaffold scaffold873, whole genome shotgun sequence.
GAGGGUAUAGCUCAAAUGGUAGAGCGCCUGCUUAGCUUGUACUAGGUCCUGGGUUCAGUCCCCAGUACCUCCA